UACGUAGGUGACCAGCGUUGUCCGGAUUUAUUGGGCGUAAAGAGCGUGUAGGCGGCCUGACAGGUCUGCUGUGAAAACUCGAGGCUCAACCUCGAGAUGUCGGCGGAAACCGUCUGGCUAGAGUCCGGAAGAGGAGAGUGGAAUUCCUGGUGUAGCGGUGAAAUGCGCAGAUAUCAGGAAGAACACCUAUGGCGAAGGCAGCUCUCUGGGACGGUACUGACGCUGAGACGCGAAAGCGUGGGGAGCGAACAGG
rnacentral:rRNA from 1 species